GCCCGUUUAAAAGGGUCGGUUUAUCGGGUCGGGUGACGUGGUAAAAGCUUUGCAAGAGGCGCGCAGUUGCGUCUCAAACUCUCACAAAGCUUCGCUCUACGCUUUAACCAGUAACUGCUUCGCUCUUUUCUCCGAGAAUCGCUGAUUUAGGAUUUCUUCAUCUCUUCUGUUGCCCUCUCUCAUUACCAUGAAAGAGAGAUUGUGAGGAUGAUCCUCCAGUCCAGAUUCUCAAGGAUUCUUCUCUUCGGAGUCUCCGGCGGCAGCGCAAUGGUGGUGGAAGCGAAUCCAGCAGAAGAACAGAGCACCGUGGAAACGAUGAUGAAUGAAAUCGAGGCUCUAGUUGAUGUGCAAUCCUCUAGUUCUGGAAUUUUGAAUGUCUUCUAAUCGACGGCAUAAUAAACACUCUGCUGAACUAAUAGUCUUGGCUUCUAGGUGGUGAAGAAGUUGAUUUUGGCAGGAGCAAAUGAGAGCCUAUUGAACAGCCACGAUAGAAGUCCAAUGGAUAAAGCUCUGAGUGAGGGGAACAUGGAUGUCGUCGAUGCGAUCAACGCGGCUCAACUCGAGCUCACUGGUAUCAAUGUUUACGAUGGUGGAAAUUUAUUUAGUUUUUAACUCAAAUCGUUCCUUUAGGUAAGGACUGUUUUCAUUAAAGUAAAUAAAGAAUUAUAUUAAUCAAUGCUACAAGAGCUUGAAAAAAGUUAAUUAGAAUAUAUGCUAGUGAAUAAGGUGUCAACACUAUACCCAAGUUAGAUUCUUUUAAUAACU